CUUCAGGUGCGGAGCCGUAGGGAAACCAAGUCUUAACAGGGCGUUAAGUCAGCAUGUGCAGGCCCGAAACCGGGUGACCUAUCCAUGUCCAGGUUGAAGCCGCCGUAAAAGGCGAUGGAGGACCGAACCCACAUCCGUUGAAAAGGGUGGGGAUGAGGUGUGGAUAGCGGAGAAAUUCCAAUCGAACCCGGAGAUAGCUGGUUCUCCUCGAAAUAGCUUUAGGGCUAGCCUCGCACGAGUCUGCCGGAGGUAGAGCACUGAAUUCCUGCGGGGGCGUCAAAGCCUACCAAGGGAUAUCAAACUCCGAAUGCCGGACAGAUGGUGUGCGGGAGUCAGACUGUACGAGAUAAGUUGGACAGUCGAAAGGGAAAGAGCCCAGACCGCCGGCUAAGGUCCCAAAGUGGGUGUUAAGUGGGAAAGGAUGUGGGAUCUCUAAGACAACCAGGAUGUUGGCUCAGAAGCAGCCAUCCAUUGAAAGAGUGCGUAACAGCUCACUGGUCGAGAGGUCCUGCGCCGAAAAUGUCCGGGGCUGAAACACCACACCGAAGC
rnacentral:rRNA from 1 species